rnacentral:lncRNA from 1 species
CUUGGGGAGGGCUGAGGAGCCCGUUCUGAGUUUUGGGAUUAGGUCCUCCAGAAGCCUGCCUCGAGACAAAGAGGACGCAGACACGGGAAGUGAAGUGGCACCGGGCACUGGGCACACACGCCUGUCCCACCCCGACCUCCGCUGCGGGGCGCUGCUGCACUGGGCGUGGGACUUUCUGACCUGCGAGGAACCCCCACCCCCCUGCGCCUACAGACCUGCUCCAAUCCCAGCCCUGACUGCCCGUCUGCUCCUUCCUGUUACCCAACAGUGCCCAGUGGUAACGCUGGGUGUUCAGGCUGCCAGGACAUUGAGACAUGGGAAGAGUCGGUGCGGAGGUGGAGGGGAAGGGAGGAAAGUGAGGAGCCGAGGCCCCCAGAGUCUGCUUAGGCCAGAACCACGGUUCUGGGAGCAGGGUGCAUGGGUCGGGGGUCCAGGAGAAGUAUGACGAGGGGUCCAGGGCUGUCAGGGCACAGGCAAGGUGGAUGGAAACGGGCUCGUGUCGUGGGUGUCCCCCGUGGCUGUGGGAAGGCAUGGGAUGACCUGCACCUGCAAUCCUUUGGCAGAUGGAGAGCAGAUGGAGGACGAGAGCCCGCGCCCCAGCCUUUCUCGCCGUGAAGACCCCCUCUUGUCUCUGCCCGUCUAUAUUCUCUCAUAAACUGAGUCCAGCUUCCAGUACCACAAAUCCCCUCCCGGCACUCGAAUCCACGCAUUUUAAACCCUUAUUGGCCUUUAAAGGAAUCCCGCCCAGCUCAGCCCCUGAGCGCUGGUUUCCACGUGGGUUGCUGCUGACCCUCCCUCGAGCUCCCUGCCGGUCUCUUCAACACCCGGAGGACCCGCGGGUGCGGAGUGCUGUUACCCAAGAGGAGUUACUCUCAGAACUAAGAAGUCGACAAGACAGGAAUGUCACCUUGGGUGGAUGCGCCAGGAGAGGAACUGACAGGAACAACAGCCAUGAGCUUGUUACCUUGGUGCUGUUUUUAUGCUCGUCUUGGCAGCCGUUUUGAGGUGCUCCUCCCUCGGCGCCGGCUUCAGAUUUGGGAGCAAAUGUGAUUCCGCACGAAGGGCAGGUCUAGAAGAAAAACACAGACUGUGGGGACACACCCAGAAACCGCGACUGCCACCCUGAAUUCAGGCAGGUCCGCUGUUGCCAUCUGCCGUCACGCAGCAUGGUGGUGAGCAAGGGGAAGGCACACAGAACCGCUCGGGGAUGAGCUGAAAGCCAACGGGCAAAGUGACAGUGGAAACACACAGAAACCCGGGCACGAACGCAACAGGACCCAAAAAUGGAACCGGGAAUGUUCACUGACUGAACAAUGGAUCAACAAACUGUGGUCUAUUCGAACAAUGGGAUAUUACUCAGCCACGAAAAAGACGGAAGCACUGACGCCUGCCACAGCAUGGUGAACCUCGAAAACAUUAUGCUCGGGGAGGGAAGCCAGACACAGCACAGAUAUUACGUGAUCCCGUCUAUGUGAAAUAUUCAGAAAAGGUGAAUCCUUGGAGGGAGAAGGCAGAUUCCUGGCUGCCAGGCGGGACCGGGGGCAGGAAGGGGGAGUGGCUGCUAAGGGGCGUGGGGUUUGCUACGAUUCGAAUGUUUGUGCCCCCUCAAAAGUCAGACGCUGAAAUCCUAAUUCCCAAGGGGAUGGCAUUGGGGGGCAAAGCCUUGGGAGGUAAUUAGGUCAUGGGGGACAAGCCUUCAAAAUAGGAUUAGUGCCCUCAUAAAAGAGGCCCCAGAGGAAUCCCUCGUCCCUUCGCCCUGGGAGAAGGCACCAUCUGUGAAGCAGGAACGGGUCCUCACUGGACACUGAAUCUUCCGGGACCUUGAUCUCGGACUUCCCAGCCUCCAGAACCCUGAGAAAUACAUUUCUGUUGUUUAAAAGCCACCUGGUUUGUGGUAUUUCAACAGGGUUUCUCUUUGGGAUGAUAAAAAUGUUCUGAAAUUGAUCACGGUGAUGGUUGCACAACCUUGCUAAAUAUACUAAAAACCACUGAACUGUACACUUUAAAAAGAUCGAUUUUUAAAUAUUUUUUGAGAUGGAGUUUCACUCUUGUCACCCAGGCUGGAGUACAGUGUCACGAUCUUGGCUCACUGCAACGUCCACCUCCUGGGUUCAAGCGAUUCUCCUGCCUCAGCCUCCUGAGUAGCUGCGAUUACAGGUGCCUGCCACCACGCCCGGCUACUUGUUUUGUGUUUUUAGUAGAAACGGGGUUUCGCCAUGUUGGCCAGGCUGGUCUUGAACUCCUGACCUCAGGUGAUCCACCCGUCUUGGCCUCCCAAAGUGCUGGGAUUACAAGCAUGAGCCACUGUGCCUGGCCAAAAAGAUCGAUUUUAUAGUAUGUGAAUUAUAUCUCAACAAAGCUGUUAUUAAGUAAAGAAACUGGCCACCAACUAUGCGAGGACACAAAUCCAAGGUUCUUAAGCUCCGUGUGAUGGUGAGCUAGUCUCAUAAGAUGGGCUGAAUAAUCAAAGGUACACGAUUUCCAGAUCUAGGCGUACUUAAAAGUUUAUAGGAAUUAAUGGACCUAGAAAAGAGAAGGCAAGAUUUAAUACAGGUACCCUAAAAAGAGCAAAGCCUUUAUUUCUCAUAAACUAGGAUUCAAACCCUAGUCAAGUACUUACUAGUUUGGAGACUCUGUUCAAAUCACUUUACCUCAGUUCCCUCAUCUAUAAACAAAGAGUGAAGAUAUGUUGCUAAGAAUUAAAUGAAAUUGGCUGGGUGUGGCGGCUGUAAUCCCAGCACUUUGGGAAGCUGGGGUGGGAGGAUGGCUUGAGUCCAGGAAUUUGAGGCCAGCCUGGGCAACAUGGCAAAACCCUGCCUCAACAAAAAGCAUAAAAAUUAGCCUGGCCUGGUGGCAUGUGCCUGUAGUCCCAGCUACUUGUGGGGCUGAGGUGGGAGGGCUGCUUGAGUCUGGGAGGUCAAGGCCGCAGUGAGCUUUGAUGGUGCCACUGCACUCCAGCCUGGGGCAAAAGAGAAAGACCCUGUCUUAAAAAAAUAAUAAUUAAAUGAAAUAAGUAUAUAUAUAGCCUAGCACAGUUCCUGGCAUACAGUAUACCCGUAAUAAACUUAUUAUUAUUAUUAAUGUGACCAGGUAACCUAGGAACCAUCUAAGAAAGCAACUAACAGCUUCCAAUGAAGAAGACAAACCGUGGCAAGAAAUAUAUUUUUUUUUUUUUUUGGACUCAAAAGCAAUUUCCUUGCAGCAAGAAGUGUAAAACAUUGAAAUAAAUUAUGGGAGGCCAGAUAUUAUUUUGGAAAUUUAAAGUAAGUGUCACUACCUAAGGGCAAAGAUAUGACCCAGGUUGUAUUUAAAGUUAGACUGCAGACCUGUACUAUAUUAAAUAAAAGAAACAAAGAUUCUACAGGGUUGUAUAGUUUGGGAAUCUGAUGUAACAUACAAGCUAAAUUUGAACAUUUGUAUGCAUUCAAAAAAUGAAAAUAUACAUGCCAAAACAGCUAGCGAAAUCAUUAAUUAACAUAUCUGAGCAAAUAAUGGCAUCUAGAUAACAUUUGCUUACAGCUCUUUAAAAACUGACAUUAUCAACAGAGGUAAAAUGUUCUAGUUAUCAAUAACAUACAGUGAGUCUAUUUGAAAGCACCUCUUGGUAUUGACUGGCAGAGUUAAACUUCUAAACAUUUUGCUGGUGUGCUGGCUCACACCUGUAAUCCCAGAACUUUGGGAGGCCGAAGCAGGAGGACUGCUUAGGGCCAGGAGUUCAAGACCAGCCUGGGCAACAUAGGGAGACCUUGUCUCUACUAAAAAUAAAACCAAUUAGCUGACCUUGAUGGCACGUGCCUGUGGUCCCAGCCACUCGGGAGGCUGAGGCAGGAGGAUUGCUUCAGCGAAGGAAGUCAAGGCUGCAGUGCACUGUGAUUGUGCCACUGCACUCCAGCGUGGGUGACAGAGCAAACCCAUUCUCAAAAUACAUAUAUAUAUGUAUAAAUAUGUAUAUAUUUGCCAAUGAGACCACUGCUCUUAUUAAAUGUAAAAAAAUCUAACACCAAGAGAAGAAUAAAAUAGGUGUGCCUGAUACCCAUGCCUAAAAGAUGCCUGAGGGAACUCUCUGGUGUGGCUAAGGUGGGGGGCUUGGUGCUUGAUGGGGCACACCAGCCAUUUCAGGGCCCAACCGGUAGACCAGGAAAGGAAGCUGGAGGUGUGGAAGCGUCUGCUGCACUUGGCUCAGCCAAAGCCCGAAGUGCAAGUGCGUGCUCAGUAAAUGCUGGUAGUGAAUAUGAAAACUUCUGUUAACUAUGCUCUCUGGUCAUUAAAGUUCAUCUGGUAAUUCAAUGUCCUUGAUUACAGACAGAACAGCCCUUGGUAUCUAUUCUUCUGUAGCCAUUUAGUCACAGGAAUCUCCUGGCGUCAGUCUGUUUCAGGUAUUUUUCUUGCCUCAAGUUCAUCUGCUGUGCUUUUCUCUCUUUUUUUGUUUGUUUGUUUUUUUGGGACUGAGUCUCGCUCUGUCACCCAGGCUGGAGUGCAGUGGGGAGAUCUUGGCUCACUGCAACCUCCACCUCCUGGGUUCAAGCAAUUCUGCUGCCUCAACCUCCUGAGUAGCUGGG